AACGACUCUCGGCAACGGAUAUCUCGGCUCUCGCAUCGAUGAAGAACGUAGCGAAAUGCGAUACUUGGUGUGAAUUGCAGAAUCCCGUGAACCAUCGAGUCUUUGAACGCAAGUUGCGCCCGAAGCCUUCGGGCCGAGGGCACGCCUGCCUGGGCGUCACGCAUCGCGUCGCCCCCCAU
rnacentral:rRNA from 1 species